CUCUGCCUUGUAAACAUGAUGUACUGUUUGAGAAAGGCGGCCAACAGGUCAUGGAAAUUAUUGAUGGAGUCUUCUUUUAAUCCGGUGAACCAACUGAGCGCUGGUCCUUGAAGACUCUCUACGAAGAGUCGGCAAUACCCAAUGUCUCUUUCUUUGUCGGAAAAGUUAGUUCGCCCCAUCGCGAUGUUGAAAGCAAUAAUAUGGUUUGUGGGUCGGUUUUUCU
rnacentral:lncRNA from 1 species